AAUAACAGAACGUUGCUGUGUGAACCCUACAUCUCUCCAGGGACAAAGUUACUCACAUGACCAGACCUGCUGUGAUGGAACACUCAGCCAUACUCCAGUCGUCCGGUAUCCUGUGACUUGUCGUGUAGUCCUGAACAGAACUACAAGUUUAUUCUCCUUCAAUUCGCUCUGAAAGAUGCUUCUUUGAAGGUCACUACCAUAGUGCUAGCUGUGGCUCUAAGGUGUACAAUCCAGACAUCAAAACUUGCUGUUGCGGGAAGGUGUCCAAUAAGGUGCUUGGAGUAAACCUGUGCUGCGGUACAACUCCGUAUGGUGUAGAGGACCGAGGGGUGCUGUGCUGUAACCAGACCUUGCACCAUGUGGUGGAGGAUGGGUACCAGUGCUCCCCAGGUGGCCACUUGUAUCUGCCAUCCCGUGAGAUGGUGUGUGGCUCACGAGUUCAUCUGAACGAUCCAGGCAAACACUGCUGUGGGGAGGAGACAUACUACCCUCGGAAUGAAAUCUGCUGCAACGGACGCAAACACCACAGGUUGAGAAAUGUUUCCUGCUGCGGAGGGAAGGCCUACGACCCCAGCAGUGGACAGAUGAAGUGCUGUGCAGGGACUCUGUACAACCUGCAGGUUCAGGACAGGCUCCCAGGUGAGGCCCAGUGCUGUGGGAGUGUCCUGAUGGAGGCCGGCUCCACCCAGACCUGCUGUUCUGCCCAAGGGCUAGACCUGCUCUACCCUACCCAGCCAGGGUUCACCUGCUGUGGGCACCGCUAUCCCAAUGCCUCCCUGUGGUCUUGCUGCGCCGGGGUCCUGCACCCAAGGCCUGAACCACACAACACCACCAAUAACGUGAUUCCAGGACCCAGACUUCUACCACUGGGGGAUCUGAAGACUGAAGUCCUGUGUCACAGCAGAAUUCUGGUAGGGACAGUGGAGAGUGUGUCCAUGAAGAUCAAUAAGCGGUCCAUCGUGAUGGUGAACGCCAUGUACAUGCUGGCCUCGCGUGGCCAUGUCAGCGCCGUGCCUUCCCCUCACUACGUCACAUUACCCGACCACUGCAGCUUCCCUGAACUGGUGCCGGGCAACACUUACAUCUGGGUGAAAAAUAAUUUCUCAGGCACCAUAAGAUUCAUCUCUGAUCUCAGCGACGAUUCCUUCCCUCUCCAUUCCAUCCUUACCAUGUGCUGAACCUUUUUCUUGCCCAGAGUAAAGCUCUACAUAAUGUUUGAAAGCUUUACAGUGUUUGUUUGCAAGUACAUUGUUAACAAUCAACGGUGUAAUAAAAAGCUCAUCUUGGGUUCAGAUGGGGUUCGACAAGUAGACAAUGUGUGUGAAGUGAAUAUCACAUUGUGCAGGAAAAAAAGCCUAUUUUAACCAAGCAUUUGUGUGUAGGUGUAUGACUUCACCAUGCAUCAAUUCAGGUGGUUUUGUGGGGGGUGGUUGCCUUUUUCCCAUCAUCAUACACGUACCACAUUAUCUGAUACUUGAUCACAGGAUCACAUUUUUGUUUGAUUAUUUCACUGCCAUACUGUGUUUGAUCUUGUCUAGCCAACUUGUCUCAAGUCCCAGACUUUAUUGUGUGUCAUCCUCAAUGUUUUUAUUCAUUUUAUUCAGAUGUUAUGAAUUUUGUCUUGUUGCUUUUUGUUCUGUUGCUCUGCGUGUGCUGAAACAUUGAUUAAUGUGCACUGUCCCUGUAAAAAAAAAAAAAAAAUUAAACUUAAUGUGCAUGCAUGGCUUUUAAGUUAUGUGUGCUUGUCUUUUUAAAUGGUCGAAUUAUUAAACUAAACUAAAGAAUGUUGUUUAAGAUUAAAGGAUCAACGGGAAUUGGAAGGUUGUUACAUGCUCGCCCACUCCUACAACUUGC
ensembl:lncRNA